GGACUACUAGGGUAUCUAAUCCUGUUCGCUCCCCACGCCUUCGCGCCUCAGUGUCAGUAAAAACCCAGGUCGUCGCCUUCGCCACUGAUGUUCCUUCCGAUAUCUACGCAUUUCACCGCUACACCGGAAAUUCCACAACCCUCUGUCUCACUCAAGUCCACCGGUCUUCGACGCCAUUCCCAGGUUGAGCCCGGGGCUUUCACAUCGAACCUAGUAAACCACCUACACGCCCUUUACGCCCAGUCAUUCCGAUUAACGCUCGCACCCUCUGUAUUACCGCGGCUGCUGGCAC
rnacentral:rRNA from 1 species